AACGAACGCUGGCGGCGUGCUUAACACAUGCAAGUCGAACGGUAAGGCCCUUCGGGGUACACGAGUGGCGAACGGGUGAGUAACACGUGGGUGAUCUGCCCUGCACUUCGGGAUAAGCCUGGGAAACUGGGUCUAAUACCGGAUAGGACCCUGGGAUGCAUGUCCUGGGGUGGAAAGCUUUUGCGGUGUGGGAUGGGCCCGCGGCGUAUCAGCUUGGUGGUGGGGUGAUGGCCUACCAAGGCGACGGCGGGUAGCCGGCCUGAGAGGGUGACCGGCCACACUGGGAUUGAGAUACGGCCCAGACUCCUACGGGAGGCAGCAGUGGGGAAUAUUGCACAAUGGGCGCAAGCCUGAUGCAGCGACGCCGCGUGAGGGAUGACGGCCUUCGGGUUGUAAACCUCUUUCAGCACCGACGAAGCGCAAGUGACGGUAGGUGCAGAAGAAGGACCGGCCAACUACGUGCCAGCCGCCGCAGUAA
rnacentral:rRNA from 1 species